rnacentral:rRNA from 1 species
UACGGGGGAGCAAGCGUUGUUCGGAUUUACUGGGCGUAAAGGGCGCGUAGGCGGUCAGCACAAGUCAGUUGUGAAAUCUCCGGGCUUAACUCGGAAAGGUCAACUGAUACUGUGCGACUAGAGUGCAGAAGGGGCAACUGGAAUUCUCGGUGUAGCGGUGAAAUGCGCAGAUAUCAGGAAGAACACCGACGGCGAAGGCAGCUCGCUGGGACGGUACUGACGCUGAGGCGCGAAAGCGUGGGGAGCGAACAGG